rnacentral:lncRNA from 1 species
UAAAUUUAAGGCUAGUAGCCUCUUGAUAGUUCCAGCAUACAAUCUUAAUAUCCAUAAAACCAAAAUAAACAAAAAAAAAGCACUUACUGCCCCGUUGACAUACGGUCUGCUAUAAGAGUCUCUCCCCACCUUGCUCGAUUGCCUUAUCCUGAUGAAUCGAAUCUUUCUCAACUGGAUCUUCCAUCAAAUUCUCUAAACCCAAGUUGACCCUCCCCACAGUCGCCACUUCCAUAGGUAUCUCGAGUUCAUCUUCUAAAUCAAGAGCUUUAUUUGAAUCAUCAAGCUCUUUUGAGAGAGAGAGAGUAAACCUACUAUGCUAAAAUAGUAUUUGAAGGUGGUUUUUGUUCCACUCUCUUACACACUUUAUGCCCCAUUUGAUAAUCUCUUUCAUGGAUAAAGCUUUGUUUUUUACUGUUGAU